UUUCCAUGAAAACGUAUUAAUUCUUUGUAAAGUGUUUAAAUUGUGUUUUCACUUGACCUUAGGAGUGUUAUUUUGAGUGUAUUUUAAUAUCUGUACUCAGGUGUUUCCCUCUGUGAUCCAUCCCCUUCAGAGCUGAGACACUCAGGACUGAACAGACUGCACAGUUUCUGUGACCGAGCCUCCAAAACAUCUUCUUUGAAACCACACAUGAUAGAAGGGCUUUAUAUUUGCAGCAGCACUACUAAAGUUGGCAGGAAUGUUGCUGCAGGAAAACAUCCCUGGAGAUCACCAUCAUUGCCAGACUGACUGUGCCUCCUCUGUGCAGUGUCAAGAUCCUCCCUAAAUGAGUGUUCCUCAGCUAUCCUGCUUCUGUGCUGCUUGCCACACAUCAAACACUGGCCGGAUGACAGG